GACGAACGCUGGCGGCGUGCUUAACACAUGCAAGUCGAACGGAAAGGCGCUGCUUUUGUGGGGUGCUCGAGUGGCGAACGGGUGAGUAAAACGUGAGUAAAAUGCACUUGAAUGUGGGAUAAAAUCAGGAAAAUGGGGCGAAUACAGGAUAGGAGCUCCUGAUGCAUGGGGGGGGUUGGAAAGAUUCGGCGGUUUGGGAUGGACUGGCGGGUUAUGAGCUUGUUGGUGGGGUAGUGGAGUACCAAGGCUUAGACGGGUAGGCGGCCUGAGAGCGUGAACGGGCUCAUUGCUACUGAGAGACGGCCCAGACUCGUAUGGUACGCAGUAGGCGGGAACCUUGCGGAAUGAGCCGGAGUCUGAGGCAGCGACCUCCCGAUCGUGAUACUCUCUUUUGAGGUAAGAACCGCUUUGUCCGUUGCUGUGGCCUUCUUGACGGUAAUUAGUAAGGAAGCACCGGCUAACUACGUG
rnacentral:rRNA from 1 species